rnacentral:misc_RNA from 1 species
AACGUAGGACGCAAACGUUAUUCGGAAUUACUGGGCUUAAAGGGUGCGUAGGCGGCGCGGAAAGUUGGGUGUGAAAGCCCUCGGCUCAACCGAGGAAUUGCGCUCAAAACUACCGUGCUCGAGGGAGAUAGAGGAGUGCGGAACUUACGGUGGAGCGGUGAAAUGCGUUGAUAUCGUAGGGAACACCGGUGGCGAAAGCGGCACUCUGGAUCUCUUCUGACGCUGAUGCACGAAAGCUAGGGUAGCGAACGGG